GAUGAACGCUGGCGGCGUGCUUAACACAUGCAAGUCGAACGAUGAAGCCCAGCUUGCUGGGUGGAUUAGUGGCGAACGGGUGAGUAACACGUGAGUAACCUGCCCUUAACUCUGGGAUAAGCCUGGGAAACUAGGUCUAAUACCGGAUAGGAGCGCCUACCGCAUGGUGGGUGUUGGAAAGAUUUAUCGGUUUUGGAUGGACUCGCGGCCUAUCAGCUUGUUGGUGAGGUAAUGGCUCACCAAGGCGACGACGGGUAGCCGGCCUGAGAGGGUGACCGGCCACACUGGGACUGAGACACGGCCAGACUCCUACGGGAGGCAGCAGUGGGGAAUAUUGCACAAUGGGCGAAAGCCUGAUGCAGCGACGCCGCGUGAGGGAUGACGGCCUUCGGGUUGUAAACCUCUUUCAGUAGGGAAGAAGCGAAAGUGACGGUACCUGCAGAAGAAGCACCGGCUAACUACGUGCCAGCAGCCGCGGUAAUACGUAGGGUGCGAGCGUUAUCCGGAAUUAUUGGGCGUAAAGAGCUCGUAGGCGGUUUGUCGCGUCUGUCGUGAAAGUCCGGGGCUUAACCCCGGAUCUGCGGUGGGUACGGGCAGACUAGAGUGCAGUAGGGGAGACUGGAAUUCCUGGUGUAGCGGUGGAAUGCGCAGAUAUCAGGAGGAACACCGAUGGCGAAGGCAGGUCUCUGGGCUGUAACUGACGCUGAGGAGCGAAAGCAUGGGGAGCGAACAGGAUUAGAUACCCUGGUAGUCCAUGCCGUAAACGUUGGGCACUAGGUGUGGGGACCAUUCCACGGUUUCCGCGCCGCAGCUAACGCAUUAAGUGCCCCGCCUGGGGAGUACGGCCGCAAGGCUAAAACUCAAAGGAAUUGACGGGGGCCCGCACAAGCGGCGGAGCAUGCGGAUUAAUUCGAUGCAACGCGAAGAACCUUACCAAGGCUUGACAUGUUCUCGAUCGCCGUAGAGAUACGGUUUCCCCUUUGGGGCGGGUUCACAGGUGGUGCAUGGUUGUCGUCAGCUCGUGUCGUGAGAUGUUGGGUUAAGUCCCGCAACGAGCGCAACCCUCGUUCCAUGUUGCCAGCACGUAAUGGUGGGGACUCAUGGGAGACUGCCGGGGUCAACUCGGAGGAAGGUGAGGACGACGUCAAAUCAUCAUGCCCCUUAUGUCUUGGGCUUCACGCAUGCUACAAUGGCCGGUACAAUGGGUUGCGAUACUGUGAGGUGGAGCUAAUCCCAAAAAGCCGGUCUCAGUUCGGAUUGGGGUCUGCAACUCGACCCCAUGAAGUCGGAGUCGCUAGUAAUCGCAGAUCAGCAACGCUGCGGUGAAUACGUUCCCGGGCCU
rnacentral:rRNA from 1 species